rnacentral:rRNA from 1 species
CACGAACGCUGGCGGCGUGCCUAAUACAUGCAAGUCGUGCGCAGGAAGCUGACGGAACUCUUCGGAGGGAAGGCAGUGGAAUGAGCGGCGGACGGGUGAGUAACACGUAAGGAACCUGCCUCAAGGAUUGGGAUAACUCCGAGAAAUCGGAGCUAAUACCGGAUAGUUCAACGGACCGCAUGGUCCGCUGAUGAAAGGCGCUCCGGCGUCACCUUGAGAUGGCCUUGCGGUGCAUUAGCUAGUUGGUGGGGUAACAGCCCACCAAGGCGACGAUGGAUAGCCGACCUGAGAGGAUGAUCGGCCACACUGGGACUGAGACACGGCCCAGACUCCUACGGGAGGCAGCAGUAGGGAAUCUUCCACAAUGGACGAAAGUCUGAUGGAGCAACGCCGCGUGAGUGAUGAAGGUUUUCGGAUCGUAAAACUCUGUUGUAAGGGAAGAACACGUACGAGAGGAAAUGCUCGUACCUUGACGGUACCUUACGAGAAAGCCACGGCUAACUACGUGCCAGCCGCCGCAGUAAAAC